rnacentral:sRNA from 1 species
GCGGAGGAAAAGAAACCAACAGGGAUUGCCCUAGUAACGGCGAGUGAAGCGGCAACAGCUCAAAUUUGAAAUCUGGCGUCUUCGGCGUCCGAGUUGUAAUUUGCAGAGGGCGCUUUGGCAUUGGCAGCGGUCCAAGUUCCUUGGAACAGGACGUCACAGAGGGUGAGAAUCCCGUACGUGGUCGCUAGCCUUUACCGUGUAAAGCCCCUUCGACGAGUCGAGUUGUUUGGGAAUGCAGCUCUAAAUGGGAGGUAAAUUUCUUCUAAAGCUAAAUACUGGCCAGAGACCGAUAGCGCACAAGUAGAGUGAUCGAAAGAUGAAAAGCACUUUGGAAAGAGAGUUAAAAAGCACGUGAAAUUGUUGAAAGGGAAGCGCUUGCAGCCAGACUUGCCUGUAGUUGCUCAUCCGGGUUUCUACCCGGUGCACUCUUCUACGGGCAGGCCAGCAUCAGUUUGGGCGGUUGGAUAAAGGUCUCUGUCAUGUACCUCUCUUCGGGGAGAACUUAUAGGGGAGACGACAUGCAACCAGCCUGGACUGAGGUCCGCGCAUCUGCUAGGAUGCUGGCGUAAUGGCUGUAAGCGGCCCGUCUUGAAACACGGACCAAGGAGUCUAACAUCUAUGCGAGUGUUUGGGUGUCAAGCCCGAGCGCGUAAUGAAAGUGAACGGAGGUGGGAACCCUUCGGGGUGCACCAUCGACCGAUCCUGAUGUCUUCGGAUGGAUUUGAGUAAGAGCAUAGCUGUUGGGACCCGAAAGAUGGUGAACUAUGCUUGAAUAGGGUGAAGCCAGAGGAAACUCUGGUGGAGGCUCGCAGCGGUUCUGACGUGCAAAUCGAUCGUCAAAUUUGGGCAUAGGGGCGAAAGACUAAUCGAACUAUCUAGUAGCUGGUUCCUGCG